rnacentral:sRNA from 1 species
GACUCAAGGAUGAUGAAACUGUUUUAAGAAAGCAUAUCGAGGAAGCUUUUGUCCAAUCUCCCAUCAUGUAACAUAUUAGUGACCAAGCCAAUGGUUGAAGCAUCUCCAGCAAACCCGCAACUCCUCAUUUCUUUGAUGAGUUCAGCUGAUGCUUCUCUGUCACCAUCUCUAAGGCGUGCCCUAAUCAGCGUAUUAUAGCAACCGCUGUUUGGAAGAGUCCCAUCUUCUUUCAUUUCUUUAAAUAAGGCAUCUGCUUCCUCCUUUGAACCUUUCCUACAAAAUCCUGAUAUCAUUGUAUUGUACGCUACAACAUCCGGCUUCACUCCUUUAAGGCUGAGAUUACAAAAUAGAUCCCACCCAUCUUCCACCUUCCCUGCCUUGCACAUCCCUUCAAUCAUAAUAUUAUAUGUGUAAAUAGUAGGUUCCAUUUUACUCCUUUGCAGAUACUCGAAUACAACCAUUGCUUUCUCUAGCUUCCCAUUUUUACAAAGUCCAUCUAACAAAGUGUUGUAUGUCAUAAUAUUGGGAGGCACGCCAUCAGAUACCAUCUCUUUGAAUAUUUCUUGAGCCAUAUCACAAUCUCCAGCUUGAAAUAACCCUUGGAUAAGAAUGUUGUAAGUGACAGUGUUGCCAACCAAUCCUCUUUGAGACAUCUCACGGAAGACUUCCAUACCCUCUUCUACCCUUUUAUACUUGCAAAAUCCCUUU